AUUGAACGCUGGCGGAAUGCUUUACACAUGCAAGUCGAACGGCAGCACGGGGCAACCUGGUGGCGAGUGGCGAACGGUGAGUAAUACAUCGGAACGUGGCCAAUCGUGGGGGAUAACGUAGCGAAAGUUACGCUAAUACCGCAUACGAUCUACGGAUGAAAGCGGGGAUCGCAAGACCUCGCGCGAAUGGAGCGGCCGAUGUCAGAUUAGGUAGUUGGUGGGGUAAAGGCUCACCAAGCCAACGAUCUGUAGCUGGUCUGAGAGGACGACCAGCCACACUGGAACUGAGACACGGUCCAGACUCCUACGGGAGGCAGCAGUGGGAAUUUUGGACAAUGGGCGCAGGCCUGAUCCAGCCAUUCCGCGUGCAGGAUGAAGGCCU
rnacentral:rRNA from 1 species